GGUAAGGUGCCUGAUAAAAGGGAACCAUUGAUGAUGGUUAUUAUGAAGGUACUUAUUCCUUCUCUUACUA
rnacentral:tRNA from 1 species